GCCCAGGUGGUGAAAUCGGUAGACACAAGGGAUUUAAAAAUCCCUCGGCCUUUAGGCUGUGCGGGUUCAAGUCCCGCCCUGGGCACCA
rnacentral:tRNA from 1 species